GUGCUCACUUCAGCAGCACAUAUCCUAAAAUUGGAACAAUACAGAGAAGACUGGCAUGGCACCUGCAGAAGGAUGACACACAAAUUCAAGAAGCAUUCCCAUAUUUU
rnacentral:snRNA from 1 species